rnacentral:rRNA from 1 species
AUACGGAGGGUGCAAGCGUUACUCGGAAUCACUGGGCGUAAAGCGCGCGCAGGCGGCUAUUUAAGUUGGAUGUGAAAGCCUAUGGCUCAACCAUAGAACUGCAUCCAAAACUAUUUAGCUAGAGUGUGGGAGAGGAAGAUGGAAUUAGUUGUGUAGGGGUAAAAUCCGUAGAGAUAACUAGGAAUACCAAAAGCGAAGGCAAUCUUCUGGAACACUACUGACGCCGAGGCGCGAAAGCGUGGGGAGCAAACAGGAUUAGAAACCCUAGUAGUCC